CAGGGGAUUGCAGUGGCAAAGCUAGGCUAGGUCUUGGAGGCUGGUGUAAGGCGAUGUGGGUGAAGGCAGGAGGCUGAUGGAAAGACUGGGGGGAAGAAAAGCCGAAAUGGAUUCACGGUGCCUUGGAUGAAGGACGAGAGGGGAACUGCAAGCUCCUUCAACUGGUUCUGUCCGGUGAGAAGUGAUCAAGCUUGGGCUGACAAGAGGCUCAGGGAGCCCUCACGUUCUUUCGCUUUUUUACCUGCCAAUCAAACUGCUACAAGACAACACCCUGAUCUGGCAUGGACAUCGCGGGUCCAAGCCUGUAGCCCCAAAUCGGAUAAUCUCUGCAGCUGAUAACAAGCAAAAGAGAAGCCAGGCAACAGCCAUAUUAAAGAAGAAAACAAUCAACUCUGAGGAUGGCUGCCAGGGAAUAGAUGAAAGGCAGAAGUGGCGAUGGGUGACUGAUGUGGCACACUUAUGAAGAAAAGCCUCUUUUUCCAUGCUUGUUUUUCCUCCCCAAGGAGCCAACAGAGUUUCUAUUCUCCAACUCUGCUCUUCACCUUACCCAAGUCAUUGCAGUCACCUGGAGUCACGGAAAUGACCAUGAUUGCCUGAACUUUCAUGACUUCUGUGGAUAACU
rnacentral:lncRNA from 1 species